AGCGGGGUAGGGCAGCCAGGAGUGCCCGUCGGGCUCAUAACCCGAAGGUCAAAGGUUCAAAUCCUUUCCCCGCUA
rnacentral:tRNA from 1 species